AGCGGCAAGUCUAUCGGGGCGAAAACCGCUAUCUUCGGCUGACGCGCCAGAUGACAUUGCCGACAUCGUCGGCGACGAGCAGGGCGCCGCGCCUGUCGAUCGCAACGCCGACCGGCC
rnacentral:sRNA from 1 species